rnacentral:rRNA from 1 species
UGAACGCUGGCGGCGUGCUUAACACAUGCAAGUCGAACGGAGUUUUAACGGAAGUUUCGGAUGGAAGUUAAGAACUAGUGGCGGACGGGUGAGUAACGCGUGGGUAACCUGCCUCAUACAGGGGGAUAACAGUUAGAAAUGACUGCUAAGACCGCAUAAUAUAGCGAAACCGCAUGAUUUUGCUAUCAAAUAUUUAUAGGUAUGAGAUGGGCCCGCGUCUGAUUAGCUAGUUGGUGGGGUAAAGCCUACCAAGGCGACGAUCAGUAGCCGGCUUGAGAGAGUGACCGGCCACAUUGGGACUGAGACACGGCCCAAACUCCUACGGGAGGCAGCAGUGGGGAAUAUUGGACAAUGGGGGAAACCCUGAUCCAGCGACGCCCGCGUGAGUGAAGAAGUAUUUCGGUAUGUAAAGCUCUAUCAGCAGGGAAGAUAAUGACAGUACCUGACUAAGAAGCCCCGGCUAACUACGUGCCAGCAGCUGC